rnacentral:rRNA from 1 species
CGGGGUGCACCAGGCGCGAAAACUUUACAAUGCUGGAAACAGCGAUAAGGGGACCUCGAGUGCCAGGUUACAAAUCUGGCUGUCGUGAUGCCUAAAAGGCAUUGCAUAGCAAGGGCCGGGCAAGACCGGUGCCAGCCGCCGCGGUAACACCGGCGGCUCGAGUGGUAACCGUUAUUAUUGGGUCUAAAGGGUCUGUAGCCGGCCAGAUAAGUCUCUUGGGAAAUCCAGCAGCUCAACUGUUGGGCUUUCAGGAGAUACUGUCUGGCUCGAGGCCGGGAGAGGUGAGAGGUACUUCAGGGGUAGGGGUGAAAUCUUGUAAUCCUUGAAGGACCACCAGUGGCGAAGGCGUCUCACCAGAACGGACCUGACGGCAAGGGACGAAAGCUAGGGGCACGAACCGGAUUAGAUACCCGGGUAGUCCUAGCCGUAAACGAUACUCGCUAGGUGUCGGCCACGGUGCGACCGUUGUCGGUGCCGUAGGGAAGCCGUGAAGCGAGCCACCUGGGAAGUACGGCCGCAAGGCUGAAACUUAAAGGAAUUGGCGGGGGAGCAC